rnacentral:rRNA from 1 species
ACCUACGGGACGCCGCAGUCGGGCCUCUUUCUCAAUUUUUUAACCCCUGAAGCAGCAACGCCGCGUGGAGGAUGAAGGUUUUCGGAUUGUAAACUCCUUUUGUUAGAGAAGAUAAUGACGGUAUCUAACGAAUAAGCACCGGCUAACUCCGUGCCAGCAGCCGCGGUAAUACGGAGGGUGCAAGCGUUACUCGGAAUCACUGGGCGUAAAGAGCGCGUAGGCGGGAUAGCAAGUCAGAUGUGAAAUCCUAUGGCUUAACCAUAGAACUGCAUUUGAAACUGUUAUUCUAGAGUAUGGG